UACGGGGGAUGCAAGCGUUAUCCAGAUUUAUUGGGUUUAAAGGGUGCGUAGGCUGUGAGGUAAGUCAGUGGUGAAAUGCCCCCGCUCAACGGGGUGAAGUGCCAUUGAUACUGCCUUGCUGGAAUGCGGAUGCCGUGGGAGGAAUGUGUGGUGUAGCGGUGAAAUGCAUAGAUAUCACACAGAACACCGAUUGCGAAGGCAUCUCACGAAUCCGCGAUUGACGCUGAUGCACGAAAGCGUGGGUAUCAAACAGG
rnacentral:rRNA from 1 species